rnacentral:rRNA from 1 species
UACCAGCACCCCGAGUGGUCGGGACGUUUAUUGGGCCUAAAGCAUCCGUAGCCGGUUCUACAAGUCUUCCGUUAAAUCCAACUGCUUAACAGGUGGGCUGCGGAAGAUACUAUAGAGCUAGGAGGCGGGAGAGGCAAGCGGUACUCGAUGGGUAGGGGUAAAAUCCGUUGAUCCAUUGAAGACCACCAGUGGCGAAGGCGGCUUGCCAGAACGCGCUCGACGGUGAGGGAUGAAAGCUGGGGGAG